CAAGGAAUUUUCCCCAAUGGGCGCAAGCCUGAUCCAGCCAUGCCGCGUGAGUGAUGAAGGCCCUAGGGUUGUAAAGCUCUUUUACCCGCGAAGAUAAUGACGGUAGCGGGAGAAUAAGCUCCGGCUAACUCCGUGCCAGCAGCCGCGGUAAUACGGAGGGAGCUAGCGUUGUUCGGAAUUACUGGGCGUAAAGCGCGCGUAGGCGGCCAUUCAAGUCAGAGGUGAAAGCCCGGGGCUCAACUCCGGAACUGCCUUUGAAACUAGAUGGCUAGAAUCCAGGAGAGGUGAGUGGAAUUCCGAGUGUAGAGGUGAAAUUCGUAGAUAUUCGGAAGAACACCAGUGGCGAAGGCGACUCACUGGACUGGUAUUGACGCUGAGGUGCGAAAGCGUGGGGAGCAAACAGGAUUAGAUACCCCGGUAGUCC
rnacentral:rRNA from 1 species